rnacentral:lncRNA from 1 species
GCCUCCAGAGUAGCUGGGACUACAGGCGCCUGCCACUACGCCUGGCUGAUUUUUUGUAUUUUUAGUAGAGACAGGGUUUCACCGUGUUAGCCAGGAUGGUCUUGAUCUCCUGAUCUCGUGAUCCGCCCACCUCGGCCUCCCGAAGUGCUGGGAUUUCAGGCGUGAGCCACCGCGCCGGGCCCACGGAUGGAUUCUUAAGCAGUUGCCAUACAAUGUGCUGUGCAAUCAUUGCACACCCUCAAUGACCAGAUUUCCCAUUUUAUUGUCACCAAGUCGAAGGCACUGGAGGAGGACAAAGACCCUUUUCUACCCACUGAGAAGGAGACUCUGAAGAGUUCCAUGAUAUUGAUGAGGCACCUCUUAAUGGAUGCUCAGAAGUCAUCCAUAAACACAUGGACAAUGAAUUCAUUUCAAUGCAUUUCCAAUGAUCCAGCAGGCUUCUGAAACCGUUCACCGAGCUCCUGGAACUCAUAACAGAGAUGUCAGCUGUGGAUGUUGAUGAAGCCCUAGGACUGUGUCGUCUUUCAUCAGAACAUUCUUUUAGAAGCCUUAAGAAGCAUGAUUGCUCUGCAGCCAAAGCUAGUUUUUUUUUUUUUUUAAUUUUAAAUAAGAAGAUAGAUCUAUGGGCCUUUGAGAAAAGGAUUCUCAUUUUAAAAAAUUAAUAAUACAACUUGUCUCCUCUGCUUUUCCACAUACUCACACAUCCCUAAAUUUUAGAAAGGAUAUGUCUGCUGCAUUUUCAUUCCUCUGCAUCAGCUACGGUUUUGUAACCUGGGUUGAAUUCAGCAUUCCUAGCUAGAAAAUAGUCAGCUGAGGAAAAGACUGCCAUCGUCUCUCCCACCUUGUCCAACUCAGUUAAACCCAUGUCGAAAGCAGAAUCUGCUUUCACUGUUGGAGGAAUAAAAUGCAAGCCAUGAUAUCAACCCUACAGAAGCAGAUUAUAUCUUGGAAUUUAAGGAUAUUUUAGAGGGCCUGACAACUUCCUAAAAUUGAAUUCAAACAUUUGAACAUGUAUACACUUGCAUUUUUAGGGAGUGAAGAUCCCUAGUUCUCACCAGAUUUGCAAAGAGGUCUGUGACCCCAGAAAAGGUUGGAAAAAAAACAAGCAAAUACGAUCCUGCAGUCAAGAUCAAACAUGCCCAUUUGCUGAACCAAAAUACAGGAUGCAUCAGCUGUCAAGACAAUAUUAAUUCUGAAGACAGGGAAAGGAAAGAUCUGAACUCAAGAUUACCCCAGUUAAUCUAGGGCAUAUGGCUAUCUGAAUUCUGGGGAAUGACAUAAGGGAAGUCUGCUCUCCCUUUUUUUUUUGUUUUCUUUUUUUUUAAUUCAUGACACUUUCACUGAUCAUUUGGAUGGCAGGGUAUCGCUAAGAACCAGGAUUAUAAAGAUGAACAGGCCUCAGGUCUGUUUUUAACAGGCUUAUAAUCUAUGGUAAGAGGCAAGGCAUUUAAUCUCCUUUGCUUCUACGAUUAUGGCUCACAUAUGUUUGCUCUGCUCUAAGAAAAAUGCAUCAGAAGCACCUUAGGUUUGGCAGGUAGGGGCUCUGAUGUUAACAGGAUUGGGUAGAGAAGCUCUUGAUGCUUCUGGAAACCCCAUGAGAGUUUAGAAAACACGAACCUUGUCCUUCCCUCUGGAAAGCACUCUCAUCUUUCCUGUCUGAUCACUGAGCCUCCUCCCCAGUCCAGGGAGGAAACAAUUUUUGUUGGAAGACAUUAAAUUGCUUGGCUGGCUGUUGUGGCCCUGGGUGAGAUGAAGGCAGACAUCGUUAAUGGAAUGUGUUGUCGCAUUUUUUGGUGGAUUGUUUUGAAAAGUAUUUCACUGGAGAACAUUAGCACAGCUUGGGCAAAAGUGCUUUGUGAAAAAAUUAAAUCCCCAUAUUUCUCUAUCUCUUUCUGCAAUUGCUCCCCUGAUGUGCUCUCUGAAAGGGUAUUUGGUAAAGGCCAAUGUAUUGGGGUUGACUCUGAAGGUCCGUGGACCACGCAUGAGCUCAAAUGCAAUUGGCCAUUGCUUUGUGAUCCUUACCACUCAGGGCCAAUGUGACAGACUCACAGCCUCUCCAACAGGCCACUUAGAAACUAUGGAGAGGGAUGAUUCAGUAGAAAGGACAUGAACUCAGGGUGGAGUGGGCUUUCUCUCCCUUUGCUCUUUCCUGAUUCUAACCUAUCUGGGCCUGGACAGUCAUAAGACUCUGCUAUGAAAAACUACCCAGUCCUUGCUGUGAAAGUCAGCAGUGCUGGGCUACUUCUUGAAAGGCAAUACCUUCUGCUCUACCAUGAUGUGAACCAGGCCCCAACCCCUGACCACAGGUGACAGGACAUAGCCCAGGGUGUUCAGAAUAAUGAGCAGCCAAUCGCAGACCAUGAGGUGAUGGGUGAGCUGGUGGGAUUAGCUCUGCCCAGACAGGGCCUAGAAGUUGCCAAAUUUAGCUCCAAACCAGCAGCAUCUCAAAGUUCCUGGGCUCUACCUACAGAGACGCCUUCACAAUCAAAGUUCAUUCUUUAAAAGACAAGAUAAGAUUUGUUCUUCAGGCAUUUGGCUCCUAUCAGAGGCUUAGGUGUGAAAAAUAACAAAAUUUGAUCUUCGUGUCCCCAAUCUUUCCAUUUUAUUUGAUGUCAUGAGUGACGUCCAAUUCUACCAGUGGUUCCCAUUCAUUUGUUCUCUGGGAUCUGCUAAUCUCAUUUACAUUCAGUCAACCCCUAAAGCACCCAGCAGAAAGCAGAGUACACAGAGGGGGAUUUCAUAAAGUGAUGUUGACCCUUCGUGGUCCCACAAGUUCAUAUGCCACUGCCUCCUCGUGAAGUCCUGCCUGAUCACCUGUUGAAAUGAAUCACUUCUUUCCCACACCUGACACCCUCUGCACCUGUCUAAGAUAACAGUCCACUCUGCCUUGGGCAUGACUUAUUCACCCAUGUGCUUCCCCACCAUUUUUCACACCCUCCCAGUGGCAUCCUAGACACUCAAGAACUGGCAUGAACUUAUUGGCUAAUUAUAAAGUCGUUUCAGCCCUGAUGUUUUGGGUUGCUUCUCCCUUUCAUGAUAAUCACACAGCUAUGGUGGACACUUCUAUGGUCCAGACACUGUCUACAUUAGGUCAUGUCUACACCUAUGCUACAACUCUGUGGAAGGAGAUACUAUCAUUGUCCUCCUUUACAGACGUGGAAACUGAAACUCAAAGAGGUUAAGGGACUUCCUCCAAGACCAUUAUCUAUGCUAGUACCAGAACUUGAACUCUAGCCUAUGUAACCCCAAAGACAGUGCUGUUGAUCUUUGUGGGACACUUCUGUUUAUAGCUGCCCAAGACAGAGUCUCCAUCUGAGCAAUGCUUCUCACCUUUGAGUUGGAAAACAAGCCCUCAUAUACAAAGAGGCAGUAACGCGUAGUGGGUCGCAACCACAGGAUGCUGAAAGUAGGGAGUGAAUGUUUGAUGAGAAAUAGAGUGGAUACAGAGUUCCACUCCCUACAAAUCAUUUAUUAACUACAAAUGAAGAAAUAGUAACUUUGCAUCGAAGCAAACUGCCAAAUACAAUCUUGACCAAAUGAUCAAAGCCAACAUCAUCAAUAUUGGGACAACAGAACAUCUCAUGUCUCCUACUGUGAUGCGCUGAGGAUACAACAUCAUUCUGGUCUUCCUGCCAAAAAUGUGUAACUUGAACACAAUCAUGAGAAAACAUUAAGAACAUGUCACAGAAAACUGGCCUGUGUUCUUUAAAAAUUAUCAAGUUCAGGAAACACAAAGAAAGACAAAGGAAUUGCUCCAGAUUAAAAGAGACUAAAGGCUCUGGAUUAAAGACAAUUAAUUGCAAUGUGUACUUUCAGGUUGCAUCCUGAACCAGGGGAAAAAAAAUAGCUAUAUAGAACAUUAUUAGGACAAUUGAUGAAAUUUGAAUAUGGACUGUGAGUUAGAUAGUAUUGUUAUGAAAAUGUUAAAUUUUCUGAUUUUUGAUAACUAUUGAGAUUAUAUAGGAGAAUAUAUUAGGAAAUGCAUACUGCAAUAUUUAGGGUUAUGUGGGCACAAGGUCUCCAACUUAAUUGGGUCAGGAAAACAAAAUAUGCAUAUCUAUGUAAAAUAUAUGCAAAGAAUAAUACAGCAAAGUAAAAACAGGUGGAUCUGGGUAAAAGUUAUAUAGAAGUUUCAUGAACAAUUCUUGUAUUUUUUCUGGAAUUUCAGUUAUAUCAAAAUUAAAAAUUGCAAAAUGUUAUAGAGUAGCAGUUGCAAGUGUAGGUACUGAAAUUGUACUGCCUGGUGUAAAUCCUGGAUCUGCCAAGUACUGGCUGUGUGACCUUGGGCAACAUACCCAACCUCUCUGUGCCUGUUUCCUUGCCUGCAAAAUGGAGAUGAUAGAGUACCUACCUCUUAGCAUUUUCUGAGACCUGAAUGAACUAAUACGCAUAGACUAGAACCUCGUGCCUCAUAAGCAUUCAGUCAUCAGUAUGGGUGAAGGUCAGUGGUUACCAAUUUCUUUGAUAUUUUCCUGUUUGCCUGUUGUGUAUGAUUUCCUGGUCUGUCAGAUUAUUUCCAGGGUGCAGCUCUAAAGACGAGCAAAUUGUUAUUAGAUUUGGAAGCCAGUUCAUCAAAUACAUGCAGUCCUCAAAGGGCACGAAUGUGUUUAACAAGAAUUAAUGAAAAAUUGGCAGCCUGAUAUUUUUGGCCCAGUCAAAAUGUGUGGAGUCUCAUUGCUAAUUAAGCCUCCUCAUUUUUCCUAGAGCAAUGCCACCUGUAGGUUUGCCUGAUUUGGGCAUUUAUUUUUCCAAAUGGCAGCUGCCUGAAAGUUUCAGGAAUCUCAGAACAAUAACUGGAAUUUAGGCUAGAAGAAGAAAUGGGAUAUCCCAAAAUUGCAACAGGAUAAGCAACCCUUUUAAAAAAAAUUGAUGGUUAGAUUUUUGUCAGAUGCCACCCAUUUAUCUAAAACUUCAAUUUUAAGUCAGAGAAUUAUCAAUUAAUAAAAAUUGAUUUAUAUUUACUAGGUAUAAGGCACCACACAGGAUGCUGUUGGGGAAUUGUAGGUAAAUGAGAUAUGGAUAUUUUUUCAGUUACUACAGCAGAGGACCUCAGUGUCCAGCGUGAAGUGACCAGAGACAGAGUGGAAUGGGAGGAGGUCACAGCAGUGGCCAGGACCAGAUUACAGGGGCCUUGGAGGCCACAGGGAGGAAUUUGGAUUUGAUUCUAAUGCUACAGGAAUCCACUGAAGAUGGCAUUAAUUGAUUUUUUUGUUUUCAGUUGAGACCAGGUCUCACUCUGUGGCCCAGGUGGAGUGCAGUGGUGUGAUCACAGCUCACUGUGGCCUCCACCUCCCAGGCUCAGGUAAUCCUCCUGCAUCAGCCUCCUAAGUAGCAGGGACCACAGGCACACACCACUAGGCUCAUGCCCAGUUAACUUUCUUAAAAAAAAUUGUGUAGAGAUGGGGUUUUUCUAUGUUCCCCAGGCUGGUAUUGAACUCCUGGGCUCAAAGGAUCCUCCCACCUUGGCCUCCCAAAGUGCUAGAUUACAGGCAUGAACGACUGCACCUGGCCUGAUUUAUAUUAAAAAAAAAAAAUUCUGCAGGGACACAAGUCAAGUUCAAAGCAGGAAGACCAGAGAGAAAGCAGCUGUUGUUCUUUAGGCAAGAGCUGGUGUUACUAGACAAGGGAUGAAGCAGCAGGAAGAGAUAAUAAUAUUUUGGAGGUACAGCUAUCAGGACUUGCCAAUGGCAUUGGAUGGGGUUGGAGCAACGGGCGGCAAGGGAAAGGCAGGAGUCAGGGAUGACUCCUAGUUUUGAAAGAAAGGUUGGCUUUGAACACAUGGCAGUGGGAAGAAGGAUAUUACAGGCAAUGUGUGAGCAGAAACAUGAGGUGAGAAAAUGGAGCCCAUGUCCAGGGAAGUAGGAGUCACUGGAAUCUUUCUGGAGAAUGAGGUGCAAAAAAGGAAGGUGUGGAAGAUACGGUUGGAGCCAGAAUGGAAAGUGCCAGACCAAAGAAAAUGCAUUUCUUUCCACAG